GAGAGAUGGCUCAGUGGUUAAGAGCACUGGAUGAUCUUCCAGAGGACCUGGGUUCAGUUCCUAGCACUCA
rnacentral:tRNA from 1 species